rnacentral:rRNA from 1 species
GGACGAACGCUGGCGGCGUGCUUAACACAUGCAAGUCGAACGGAAAGGCCCUGCUUUUGUGGGGUGCUCGAGUGGCGAACGGGUGAGUAACACGUGAGUAACCUGCCCUUGACUUUGGGAUAACUUCAGAAAACUGGGGCUAAUACCGGAUAGGAGCUCCUGCUGCAUGGUGGGGGUUGGAAAGUUUCGGCGGUUGGGGAUGGACUCGCGGCUUAUCAGCUUGUUGGUGGGGUAGUGGCUUACCAAGGCUUUGACGGGUAGCCGGCCUGAGAGGGUGACCGGCCACAUUGGGACUGAGAUACGGCCCAGACUCCUACGGGAGGCAGCAGUGGGGAAUAUUGCACAAUGGGCGGAAGCCUGAUGCAGCAACGCCGCGUGCGGGAUGACGGCCUUCGGGUUGUAAACCGCUUUCGCCUGUGACGAAGCGUGAGUGACGGUAAUGGGUAAAGAAGCACCGGCUAACUACGUG